rnacentral:tRNA from 1 species
GACGAGGUGACCGAGUGGUUAUGUUAAUGGACUGAUAAUCCAAUAUGCCAUGUACACGUGGGUUUGAAUCCCAUCCUCGUCG